GAUGAACGCUGGCGGCGUGCCUAAUACAUGCAAGUCGAGCGCAGCGGGGACAGGUGCGUACCACGUGGAUAACCUCCUAUAAGACUCCGAUAACUUCGGGAAACCGGUGCUAAACCGGCUACUUAUAGAUGGAUCCGCGCUGCAUGAGCUAGUUGGUAAGGUAACGGCUUACAAAGGCAACGACGCAUAGCCGACCUGAGAGGGUGAUCGGCCACACUGGGACGGAGACACGGACCAGACUCCUACGGGAGGCAGCAGUAGGGAAUCUUCCGCAAUGGGCGAAAGCCUGACGGAGCAACGCCGCGUGAGUGAAGAAGGUCUUCGGAUCGUAAAACUCUGUUAUUAGGGAAGCGGUACCUAACCAGAAAGCCACGGCUAACUACGUGCCAGCAGCCGCGGUAAUUC
rnacentral:rRNA from 1 species